ensembl:snoRNA SNORA36B small nucleolar RNA, H/ACA box 36B
UUCCAAAGUGUUGAGUUCAGUUCAGGGUAGCUUCCCUGUUCUGUUAAUUGAACUUUGGAACAUUGAAACAGGCUAGGAAAAAUGAUUGGAUAGAAAAUAUUAUUCUAUUCAUUUAUCUCCCAGCCUACAAGA